AGUGAACGCUGGCGGCGUGCUUAACACAUGCAAGUCGAACGAGAACGGAUUAUAGCUUGCUAUAAUUGUCAGCUAAGUGGCGCACGGGUGAGUAAUGUAUAGGUAAUAUGCCUUUUACUAAGGAAUAACAAAUGGAAACGUUUGCUAAUACCUUAUACUCCUUAUUAACCUAAGUUAAUAAGGGAAAGAUUUAUUGGUAAGAGAUUAGCCUGUAUUGUAUCAGUUAGUUGGUGGGGUAAUAGCUUACCAAGACUAUGACACAUAACUGGUUUGAGAGGAUGAUCAGUCACACUGGAACUGAGAAACGGUCCAGACUCCUACGGGAGGCAGCAGUGGGGAAUAUUGCACAAUGGACGGAAGUCUGAUGCAGCAACGCCGCGUGGAGGAUGACACAUUUCGGUGCGUAAACUCCUUUUAUAUGAGAAGAUAAUGACGAUAUUAUAUGAAUAAGCACCGGCUAGCUCCGUGCCAGCCGCCGCCGUAA
rnacentral:rRNA from 1 species